rnacentral:rRNA from 1 species
GAUGAACGCUGGCGGCGUGCCUAAUACAUGCAAGUCGAGCGGCAGCACGAGUAGUUUACUACUUGGUGGCGAGCGGCGAACGGCUGAGUAACGCGUAGGAAUCUACCCCAAAGUGAGGGAUAACUCCGGGAAACCGGAGCUAAUACCGCAUGUGGUCUUCGGAUUAAAGCUUUAGUGCUUUGGGAAGAGUCUGCGUUCGAUUAGCUUGUUGGUGAGGUAAAAGCUCACCAAGGCGACGAUCGAUAGCUGGUCUGAGAGGAUGAUCAGCCAGACUGGAACUGAGACACGGUCCAGACUCCUACGGGAGGCAGCAGUAAGGAAUCUUCCACAAUGGGGCGAAAGCCUGAUGGAGCAACGCCGCGUGCAGGAUGAAGGCCCUCGGGUCGUAAAACUGCUUUUUAUAUGUGAAGAAUAUGACGGUAGCAUAUGAAUUAAGGAUCGGCUAACUACGUGCCAGCAGCCGCGGUCCAUACGUAAGGAUCCGAGCGUUAUCCGGAGUGACUGGGCGUAAAGAGUUGCGUAGGUGGUAGUUAAAGCAAAUAGUGAAAUCAAGUGGCUCAACCAUUUGGCUAUUAUUUGAACUGAAUUACUUGAGAGCAGGAGAGGUAGAUGGAAUUUCCAGUGUAGGAGUGAAAUCCGUAGAUAUUGGAAGGAACACCGAUGGCGUAGGCAGUCUACUGGCCUGUUUCUGACACUGAGGCACGAAAGCGUGGGGAGCGAACCGGAUUUAGAUACCCGGGUAGUCCACGCCGUAAACUAUGGAUGCUAGCUGUGUGUCGUAUCGACCCGAUGCGUGAGCGAAGCUAACGCGUUAAGCAUCCCGCCUGGGGAGUACGGUCGCAAGAUUAAAACUUCAAAGGAAUAGACGGGGACCCGCACAAGCGGUGGAGCGUGUUGUUUAAUUGGAUGCUAAGCCAAGAACCUUACCAAGAUUUGACAUCCUGGGAAUUACUUCGAAAGAAGUGAGUGCCUUCGGGAACCCAGUGACAGGUGUUGCAUGGCCGUCGUCAGCUCGUGUCGUGAGAUGUUAGGUUAAGUCCUUCAACGAGCGCAACCCUUAUGAUUAGUUGGAUUUUUCUAGUCAGACUGCCCCGGUAACGGGGAGGAAGGAGGGGAUGAUGUCAGGUCAGUAUUACCCUUACAUCUUGGGCUACAAACGCGCUACAAUGGCCGGUACAAAGGGCAGCAAAGUCGCGAGACGGAGCUAAUCUCAUCAAAGCCGGUCCCAGUUCGGAUUGCAGGCUGAAACUCGCCUGCAUGAAGCCGGAAUCGCUAGUAAUCGCAGGUCAGCACACUGCGGUGAAUACGUUCCCGGGUCUUGUACUCACCGCCCGUCAAACCAUGAAAGUCACCAACACCCGAAGUUCUAACUUGUUUAGGCCUAAGGUGGGGGGGAUGAUUGGGGU